AGGAACUUCUCGGGUCAUUCCGUAAGCUCGGGAAUAUGAAUGUGUUGUAUUUCACUUGCCGGAAAGACUCGAGAAUGUACGAUUGCUAAAACAAGAGUUGUCUUUCUUGAUGAAGCAGAAGACACUUGCGGCGAAAACGAAGAUGGAUGCCGAAUCAGCGUGAUCAGACAGAAAGCUUAUAUUUGCGGAUACUUAGCGAAAAUGACUGUCGGGUACAGUACUAUGACACGUGGUGACUGAAGUCUGGUCAGUCGGCAGGCAGCAGUACUCAAUUUACCGCAUUCCUACAAUCCAACUGAAAUUACGGGUAUUCAGAAUCGGCCUUUAAACAGUUGAUGAAGCCCGCCCUGGUAGAUGGAAUCUGCCGCUUGACCAGCAGCACUGUCCAGAGACAGUGGUUGAUGCUGGAUAUAUGACUUUUCCUCAGCCCAUCAUUACCUGCUGGAGUGCUGGUAGAGGCUGAACGCUUUAAUAAAUAUAACUGUGAUCUUGCUGAGAUGUAGUAAUCCAUGGGAAUUUUCCAAAGAAGAUUCAAGAGAACUUUCUGGACCUUAAGAUGUUGACACCCUGCUGAUGGAGCAGAAGCAGAAAGCAGUUCUCUUACCAUCAGAUCUGAUCCAUUUUUGGAGAUAGCCUUUUGUAUGGAGCUGGUGGUGACUGAAGUCUGGUCAGUCGGCAGGCAGCAGUACUCAAUUUACCGCAUUCCUACAAUCCAACUGAAAUUACGGGUAUUCAGAAUCGGCCUUCGAACAGUUGAUGAAGCCCGCCCUGGUAGAUGGAAUCUGCCACUUGAACAGCAGCACUGUCCAGAGACAGUGGUUGAUGCUGGAUAGAUGACUUUUCCUCAGCCCAUCAUUACCUGCUGGAGUGCUGGUAGAGGCUGAACGCUUUAAUAAAUAUAACUGUGGUCUUGCUGAGAUGUAGUAAUCCAUGGGAAUUUUCCAAAGAAGAUUCAAGAGAACUUUAUGGACCUUAAAAGAUGUUGACACCCUGCUGAUGGAGCAGAAGCAGAAAGCAGUUCUCUUACCAUCAGAUCUGAUCCAUUUUUGGAGAUAGCCUUUUGUAUGGAGCUGGUGGUGACUGAAGUCUGGUCAGUCGGCAGGCAGCAGUACUCAAUUUACCGCAUUCCUACAAUCCAACUGAAAUUACGGGUAUUCAGAAUCGGCCUUUAAACAGUUGAUGAAGCCCGCCCUGGUAGAUGGAAUCUGCCGCUUGACCAGCAGCACUGUCCAGAGACAGUGGUUGAUGCUGGAUAUAUGACUUUUCCUCAGCCCAUCAUUACCUGCUGGAGUGCUGGUAGAGGCUGAACGCUUUAAUAAAUAUAACUGUGAUCUUGCUGAGAUGUAGUAAUCCAUGGGAAUUUUCCAAAGAAGAUUCAAGAGAAGUAUUCAAUUAUAUAAGUUCAGACUGUAGAGAGCAUGAAAGCAGAUAUUACAGUUAUCUCCCUUAGACUAGAUGAAUUACAAUACAGAACUUUCAAAUCAUCUAAGUUUAGAGUUAUAAUGCUAUUUGAAUUCUUUGAAUUUGGCUACGGUUACUAGUUAAAGACAUAACCACAUGUAUUGCCUCAGUUUACUUACAAUUAUAAUAUAUACCUAUAAGUAUAAAUUGUCCUUCUCUUAAUUUUGUAUACUUUGUGGAAUUUAUAAAAAUUGCAUGAUCACUGUUCGUUAUCUUCUCUUUAUAUUAGCAGUAGAUUCUCUGUACCUGACUCACCAGGAAUGCAUUGUUAGGUCACCUUAGUCACUCAGGUGAUCUUUUGCAAUUGAUCUGCCCGUUCGUUAUCGCCGUCUGUCAAUUGUAUAUCGAUUCGUUAAACACCCCUCUCAACAAAAUUUCACUCAUGGAGACAUCAUCAAUUCCGGCGAAGGGCUGCAAAAUUUAGGUCUAUGCUCGGCGCUUAUGGCCUUUGAGCAGGGAAGGAUUUUUAUCUUGCCACAAAACAUUCUUGGGAAAAGGGGAUUCAUGUUUGUUCAAAUGAAGCAGCGUGUCAACUUGAAAGGGGAAAUUAUACAGUGAAACUUCUCCAAAUCGGCCCCUCAGAAAAUCACUCCUCUCUGAAUAUCGCCCAAUUCUUAAAGUCUCUGUAGGAAUCUUAACAUAUCCUUUCAAAGAAAUUCAUAUAGUCCAAAGUGUGACUUUUCGAGAUCUCCGCCAUUUUUGACAAGGGACUUCUGGGAUGAUCCUCAGUUAUAGGUUCAGAUUUAGCUCGGAUUAUUCUGUGCUCUUUAGUCAUUGGAGCUUGCAGCAUGAGCCAGAGCACUGCACUCACUAUUAAUAUGCAAGUAGCUGCAUUUAAUUCAAAUUGAAGUUGAACACAAGGACCCCAGGGGUAGGGUGGGGGCACAAUAUGAAAUCGGAGUUUUAUAUGGUAAUAUGCAGAAAAUUUAUUAAAACAAAGACUUUUCAAGAGGAGCAGGGCCACACUAAAUCAUAUCCAAAUGCAAAUGUCCCCAAGUUGUGUGAAAACAAGGUUUUUUUAUGACCCUGACUAAGGAUGGGGUGGAAUUGUUUUUGUCCUGUCUGUCUGAAAUUUUAACCUUCCUCAUAACUUUUGAAUAAUGAGCAGUGGGGCUCUCAUAUUUGCAUUCUUUUUUAUGGCCAUAAAGUUUUUCACCUUGUGACCUUGACAUUAGAGUUUGAUCUACUGACCGGUUUAGGUAGAACUUUCAUAUUUUGUAUACAUACAUGUAUAAUGACCUGAAUGUUUUACAGAAUAGUCAUAUGGUAUUGAGGCAUUCCUGUGUUGUGUGAAUUUAAGUUUGCUUUAUGUCGUGAACUUCGGGGCUAGGUGGGGCAACAAAAUAGAGUCAACAUAUUUCAUAGGAAUAAUGAUUUAAAAUACAAAAAAAUUUGAAAAUCAAAACAGCUGACCAAGAGCAAGGUAACUCGGGUGAGUGAUGUGGCCUAAGGGCCUCUUUGGGAUUAAACUCUAAGGUUAUAAAGUAUGUUUUUAACAAUUUAUCUGAAAUUAUUUGUAUGCGUUGAUUUUGGGGUCCUGAAGGUCAAGGUCACUACUGGACUUCAUAGAAAAGCUAGUAUAAAUUCAUUAAGGAAGCAUAUGCCCUGCGUUGCAGAGUUCUUAGGCCACUGAUAAAAUGUGUUGUGUUUCCGCUAACCCGACUGACCCUAAAUUAUAGCCCCGACCCUAGAUUUUUUUUUUGAUAUUUAAAACAAAAAUCGUCAUUUUCCCGGAAAAAAUGUAUUCCCGGUUCUUGGUUUUCGGUUUAGUUAGACAUUGAGAUGAAGUCAUUCAAACGCUUUAAUGAUAUACAAAAUUGCAUGGUUUUGUGUCAAGCGUUUAAACAACAUUGAUAAUGUUUCUAACUAACAGCAUGGAUGAUGGUUGACCCAGUGGCUAGUACCUCCAUGCGUGCUCACGCAACGAUGAUUUAACAAUUGAAGUUAACAGACGGUCGAGAGACUCUGCCAAGUGUCAUGUUUUCAUAGAAGACUUUCUUUUGUUAAAAUUGCCAACUCCUAUGUUGUUUUUAGACGGUGGCUAUUUAUAGCCAUGCACUGUCUUAUGUUAUCAUUUCAACGGGCAUUAGACGGGGACCCUAGUUUUAUAUGGAGGUCAUGAUGCAGAGUGACAGACAUGAAUGUCCAGUCUGUCAAAUUUGUAUGCACAUCCUUGGUUUCUGCUGCAGUUCUAACUGAAAACACUAUGAAAACGGUCACAAAUAACGCAGUGAGCGCAUCCGAGUUGUUGAUGGCUGGUGAGAGCCGAGAGGAAAAAAAGAUGUGCAGAUUGUUUUUAAAAUAAAAAUUUAUGUCCGGUAAAAAGUUUUAGCUGGAAGAGAGUUGGAUCCCAUUAGGAUAAGUGGGAUCUGCCCAGACUGUCUUCCUACCCUUGUUCCAUUUAGAUUGUGAAAAUACAUUCAGAAAUGUAUUAAUAAACUUAAAAUAUGUUAAUGAUGUUGAUAUUUUGGUGAUGAUUUAAUAUAUUUUUUCAAAACCAUCACAUUAUUUUCCUGUCAAACAUAUCCAAUAGAAGUAUUCCUAUGACAACCAAUCUAAAUGUAGAAACAAUAUAUCUGGUACUUGUAGAGCAUAGUGGCAUAGAGGAGUUAACUUUUGUUGUUUUAUGCUAGAUAUGUUUCAUUGAAAAAUAUAGUUUCUUAUAAAACAUCUGGAAAUAAUCCUCAGCCAAUAACAGGUGAAAUGUUAUGAUUGAAAGGAUAUGGGGCUCACAGCGGGUGUGACCGGUCAACAGGGGAUGCUUACUCCUCCUAGGCACCUGAUCCCACCUCUGGUGUGUCCAGGGGUCCGUGUUUGCCCAACUAUCUAUUUUGUAUUGCUUAUAGGAGUUAUGAGAUUGAUCACUGUUCGUUAUCUUCACCUUGCAAUGCAAUUUAAGCAAAAUUUUAUUUUGAAAGUAUAAAAUUCAAUAGAACAUUUAACUUGUGCAGUAAUUAGGGCUAUACGGACUGUGGAUAUCGGCCUGGAUAGCUCAGUGGUUAGAGCACCUGACUAGAAAUGCAGGGGUCCAGCCAAAGAUUUUCUCCUUCCCAUACUACAUUUGGUACCGUUGACCACCCCUAAUGGUGCAGGUUGGCCUGUCAGGGGCAAAAAGAACCUGGGUUGAUAUUGAAAGACAAUUAUAAAAUUAUAAUUGAUCUUAAGGAGGGAGGAAUGUAGUAAUUAGGGCUCUACGGACUGGAUAUUGGCCUGGAUAGCUCAAUGGUUAGAGCACCUGCCUAGUAAUGCAGGGGUCCCAGGUUCGAUUCCCGGUCCAGCCAAAGAUUUUCUCCUCCUUCCUAUACUACACUUGUUAGAGUUUACAAUGUUUUUGCAUACUUUGAAAAAAUAAAAUUAAAAAAAAAAAAUAAUUUAUUUCCUACCUUCCUACCCUAUUUUUUUCUGGAACAUUAGCGGAAACUCAACAAUUUUUAUCGUUGGCCUUAUUCAUAUUCUAUCAUGAAACGGAGAACAAAGUCGCUUGACAAAAUUCUCUUCAAAAAAUUUACUGAGCAUUUUCAACCUGCAGACAAUUUUACUUGCCUGUCUGAUUUCUGGUGAUUCCAGCACUCAAUGCUACUUUGGUUUUUCAGCUUUCUGAACCUUAAGAUGUUGACACCCUGCUGAUGGAGCAGAAGCAGAAAGCAGUUCUCUUACCAUCAGAUCUGAUCCAUUUUUGGAGAUAGCCUUUUGUAUGGAGCUGAUUCAAGUUUGCAAAAACCAUGGCCUCCAGGGGUAGGUUGGCGCCAUAAUAGGGACUACGGGUUUACAUGCAAAUAUAUGGAAAGUCUUCUGAUGUGAACCAACGUGACUCAGGGUAGCGGUUACUGGAGACGUGCUGUUGAUUGAUGAGGAUAAUUUUCCCGAGACUCUGACAUAUAUUGCAGGACCUGGAUAGCUCUACUGGUGUUCAAAAUGCCAGGACUGUGGAGUGUUGUGAUGUUAUUGAUGGUCAACAGAAGACUGUGACCUUGAAUCUGAAGAUCUGUGAUGAAGACUGGACGUUUGGGGUCACUCUCUGUUACAGUACUACAAAUCUAACAGUGUGAUACUCAGCCACAAAGAGGUUGUCUCUGAUGUCCACACAUAAACCUACUGGAAACUCUAAAUCACAGUGAAUGUAACGGAGGAACUGUCCGUCCUGAUCUAGGAUGUGGAUACGGUGAUUGCCACAGUCUGCUGUCAGGAUGUGACUCUGGCUGUCUGUAGUGAUGCUGAAUGGAUAAAAUGAUUGCUUGGUAUUAGAGGGAUGACCAGUGUAUCUAAAUCGGAGUUUUCCUGACUGAUUGACCACCACUACUGCACUAUAGUCAGCCACACAGAUAUCCAGGUUCUUGUUCUCACUGAGGUAUUUAGUGUAAUCACCAGAUGAAUAGAGAGGACGACCCUGAUCAUCAAACUGAAUGCUUUGUUUCUCUGUGGAGCCGGAGUAACGCACGACUUUGUAUUGUUUGACAUCAUCACUGAUCAUGGUAACCAGGAGGUCGUUAGCCGCGGUACAGCAGACAUUGACAGGACUCCACCCCUGUAGUGUGAUCACGAUUGAGUUGAGUGGAACAAUGAACCUCCGGAUAUCUAUGUACAUUUACACGUGUAGGAUUAAACUUCUGUUGUACUCGCGCAUGCGAGCUUAUCCUA